AUUGAACGCUGGCGGCAUGCCUUACACAUGCAAGUCGAACGGCAGCACGGGAGCAAUCCUGGUGGCGAGUGGCGAACGGGUGAGUAAUACAUCGGAACGUGCCCAGUAGUGGGGGAUAACCCGGCGAAAGCCGGACUAAUACCGCAUACGACCUACGGGUGAAAGCGGGGGAGUCGCAAGACCUCGCGUUAUUGGAGCGGCCGAUGGCAGAUUAGCUAGUUGGUGGGGUAAAGCCUACCAAGGCGACGAUCUGUAGCUGGUCUGAGAGGACGACCAGCCACACUGGGACUGAGACGCGGCCCAGACUCCUACGGGAGGGCAGCAGUGGGGAAUUUUGGACAAUGGGCGCAAGCCUGAUCCAGCCAUGCCGCGUGUGGGAAGAAGGCCU
rnacentral:rRNA from 1 species